GACGAACGCUGGCGGCGUGCCUAAUACAUGCAAGUCGAGCGGACAGAAGGGAGCUUGCUCCCGGAAGUUAGCGGCGGACGGGUGAGUAACACGUGGGCAACCUACCCUGUAGAUCGGGAUAACAUCGAGAAAUCGGUGCUAAUACCGGAUAAUCAUUUGAAGUGCAUGCUUCGAAUGUAAAAGAUGGCUCCGGCUAUCACUACGGGAUGGGCCCGCGGCGCAUUAGCUAGUUGGUAAGGUAAUGGCUUACCAAGGCAACGAUGCGUAGCCGACCUGAGAGGGUGAUCGGCCACACUGGGACUGAGACACGGCCCAGACUCCUACGGGAGGCAGUGGUAGGGAAUCUUCCGCAAUGGACGAAAGUCUGACGGAGCAACGCCGCGUGAGUGAUGAAGGUUUUCGGAUCGUAAAGCUCUGUUGUUAGGGAAGAACAAGUGCCGUUUGAAUAAGGCGGCACCUUGACGGUACCUAACCAGAAAGCCACGGCUAACUACGUGCCAGCAGCCGCCGCAGUAA
rnacentral:rRNA from 1 species